UUAAUUGAAGCCAAAAAAGAGGCAUAUUACUGUUAUAUGAAAGCAUUAGAUUUUAAAUCUCAAUUAAG
rnacentral:tRNA from 1 species